AAGAAAGACACAAUGGCUGUGAUAUUGGCUUGAAACCGANUAGAGGGGGUUCGAUUCCUUCCUUUCUUG
rnacentral:tRNA from 1 species